AGCUGCAGGCUUUGUGCUGUGUUGUUCAGUCCUGGCGCCUCACACCUGCUGUGCCCGCCGAAACUUUUCAAAUCUCUAAGGCAGAGACUGUAGAGCCGCCAGGUCUUUUCAGGAAAUAAAACGUGACCCAGGAUUUCGGCUACACACUGUUGGAGCGGUGGCAGCCGCCAGGCAACUCCUCUUACCUUUCUCAGCAUUUCUCCGUCAGCAGGGCGUCCACGGAACCAUCGCGCGCAGAGCGGGGAGUUGGGAAAGUCACCAGCGGAAGAUGGGCACGAACUUCUCCAGGCGUGCGUUUUCCUCCUCUGUUUCACAAAGGCGAGACCUGCCUGACCACUCGGUCCCCAAGUGUUUCAUCCGAGUGGCUGUUGCAACGGUGGCAGGAGUUCAGAUGGGCUACAAAGGGUGCAGCUGCCUAAGGCUCACCCAGACUUAGGUCCACUGUCUGGUCGUCUAGGAACCAGCCCAGGAUGAGGUAAGUGUAGCUCUUAUUCCUCAUCAAGAGAAGCUUCUCUUGCCAAAUGAGGAAGCUUCCCCCAUGGUGCUUCAACAAUAUGUCUGCCAAAACAAGACUGAAGAAACAAACAACAGACAUGCUAACAUAGAAGAGACAAGCUUGGAGAUCUGAGACCAAUUUGUACCCUCCAUUAUACAGUCUUCUGGACAUGUUUUCAAAAUAAGCCUGAAGCAAGUAACUUAAAACAAGUUUA
rnacentral:lncRNA from 1 species